GCAACCACCAAUUGGCAACCGAGAACCAGUAACUGGCAACCAACAACCGGUGACGUGCUCACCGGCAUCUUAUUCUCUCCGUACUCCACCAAUUAACCUUAUUUUUCUAUUCUCCACAACGUCUUGUUCUAAGAGAUCUCACCGGUAUCCGGGAUCCAGCAAUCGAGGACAUGCUCACCGACAUCCUAUUCUAUGCAUACUCCUCCUCCAUCGCUUAGCCUUGUUUUUCUUAUCUCCAACAAUAGUGUGUCAUCUUCUCAAGUACAAGAAGAAAACUCCCGAUGGUUAAUCAACUUCAAAUGGAUAAAAAAAGGAUAGAGGGUGGCCCACACUUUGUGCGGAAGUUGGUUUUUGAUCUAGAUGGAAAUGAACCAGAAAAGAUUGAUGUUACCAAUGAUUUAAAUGAGAAGGUGGGAUAUCAAAAUAGGUAGAAGGAUUUAAGCACAAUGUGACCACCAUGCGUUCUUUAAAGAGGCCAAAGAAUGCUUUGGAAAAAGCAUUUGCAAAGAAAACAAGACGGAAGAAGGACCAAUCUAAUGAAAAAUGCUCUAUACAGAAGCUAAAGAUGGGUGGAAUGUGUCUAAGGGGAAUAUGACAGAUGUACAAAACUUUGACCAAACUCUCUCAUAUACCCAGGAUUCAUUUGUUCAUGAUCAUUGUGUACAAGGAGAUGUGCCAGGCAAAGUUUUUAGAGAACCCAUUAUGGCGGAUCUCAUUUGAAUAGGCCUCAUCAGACAUUGGACCAUAUCAUGCAAUGGACUUAUACCAGUUCUAAGAAAACUGAGUCACAAAUUUUCUCACAUUUUCAAACAGGUAUGCUUGGAUUUUGGAUUUUGUCUUCAUAGCCAAUCAUGGAACGGAUUUCAGAGUUCAUGGAUGGAAAUUUAGUAUAGAUUAAAUGUCUAAUUUAUUCAUAGUCAUGUAAUAAAGUAUUAUUUAUAAUUUAGUGAUCAACCCACUAUGCCAUUUAGAAAUUAAGGAAUUUACAAUAAACAAUCAACUUAAUGACAUAUUUACUAGAAAGAUAAAUCAAUUGUUAUUCAAUGCAUUCAUUAUC